UUUAUAGUUAAAGGAACAGAAAAGUGAUGAAGGAAAGGAAGCAGCCUGUUGUGAUCAUCAUCAAUACAUGCAGCUUUAACGACACAAAGAGAGACAAUCCUUAGCCCUGAAGCACUUUUUAUAAAUGAAUCAGGGGUUGUUUUAGAGGCAAUGUGUUAACUAUUUAUUCUGCUCUCUGGAAGCAAACCAUUUUGCAUUUUGGAUUCCUCAGUGACUACAGGAGUUGGCCACAGGAAAAAAAAUCAGCUGGAGGCAGUCUGUCUUAUGGCACUCCCCUCCUGGCUCUGGGCAUCAGAGCUUUGCCAGCUUGAUCCCCUGGCCAGAACGGCCUUGAAUGCUGUUUCAUGUUAUGCUGGAGACCAGGCCAGUGUGCAGAAGGCCCAGGAUUGGAAGAGCACAAAGGUCUAGAGUCACAAAUUUGAAGGCCAGAAAGGACCAUUGUGUAGUCUGAAC